rnacentral:lncRNA from 1 species
CUCAAUACUGUUAAGAUAAACAUUUUCUGCAAAUUAAGCAAUAGAUUAAGCUCAAGGCUAUUCAAAGUUAUAGCUGACUUAAAAAUUACUAAUGCACAAGCAGACAAUAAAAUAUAUAUGGUAUAGAAAAUAACCUAGACUAGCCAAAUAAUUUUGAAGGGCAACAAAGUCUGAGAACUUAGUGUACUAUAAUGCUACAGUAGUCAUGAAGAAAAUAUACGUGUAGAUCUUCUCAAAAAAAUACAGCACAACGUGGGCAACAGUUUCUGUAUGACACAAAAUGAAUUUUACUGGAAAUGAACUUCUAAACAGAAACCAACAUCACAGCAAUGUCUUUACGCCAAAAAAAAAAAAAAAAAAAAAAAAAGAUAAAAGAGCAUUGGAGCAAGAUGGUGGAACUCGAUAUCUCUGGGUAUCACUUCUCCCACAAAAAUACAACUAGGAACUAUUCAAGAACAAGAAUAUUUCCUUCAGUUCAACAGAACCUGCGGAGGAAGUAAAGAAAUGCCCUGAUCUCGCAAGACUGAGAGGAACCACAACAG